UACGAAGGUCCCAAGCGUUAUCCGGAUUUAUUGGGUUUAAAGGGUGCGUAGGCGGGCUAUUAAGUCAGUGGUGAAAGCCCCAAGCUUAACUUGGGAACUGCCAUUGAUACUGAUGGUCUUGAGUACAUUUGAGGUGAGCGGAAUGUGUCAUGUAGCGGUGAAAUGCUUAGAUAUGACACAGAACACCGAUUGCGAAGGCAGCUCACUAAACUGUAACUGACGCUGAGGCACGAAAGCGUGGGGAGCAAACAGG
rnacentral:rRNA from 1 species